CCAAGUGAUAGAGGUGCCCAGUCCAAGUGAAGGGCAAGAGUCUACAUACCACUUUCCUCUAUUCAAGCUAUUUAUGCCUACUAGGUUAGAAUACUGAUUAUGAAAGUGGACCCCCGAAGAGGAAUAAAGAAUUUUAAUAACUAUUACUCUAAAAUGAAAGAAUUCCUUUUAAUUGAAUGGCAGAUCUUAGUCAUGACCCCUAGGGCUUUUUGGGGUAGAUUUUUUGAUUUAUAGAGGACUGGUAAGAUGAGGUAUUUAAAGAUGAGGGUUACAAAUUUUCCAUGUUGGCACAUGGAAAGUAAAGAAUGGCAAAAUUUGUAGCACAUUCUAAUUAGUUCAAGUAUCUAUGUUACCAAAAUUGAAAUGAUACCAAAUUGCACAGCAACGUCCUGAUGGCCUUUCCUCUAACUUUCUGGGGUAAAGACCAGUAAAUUACACUUUUUACACAUGACUAGGUUAAAACAAAAGUAGACAUUUGUGCAAACACCACUGUUCUCCCUUGAAGUGGUUGUAGGUCUCAGACAGUGCUAAUUUUUCUCUUUCUUAAUGUGUGUGGUUAGGAAGCUGGGUCCUGUGGCUGGCGUGAGCUGACCCAUUAUGUGAGGAAACUUACUUAUCACAGCCUAAUAAGGAGUAGUCCUUGCAGCAGAAGUAAUUACUAAAUGUGCUUUGGUCAUUUGACAGAAAUCAGGGAGGCAGCAAGGAGUCAUGGAAAUGAGCCCAAACUGAGAGUCAAAACCCUGUGGUCUGCCAACACCCCCAUCCCACAUCCGUACCUAAAAGCAGGCUGUGCACUAGGGACCUUCACAUAGAUAAGCAAUUAACUUUACAUAUACCCGUUUUUAAAAGAUCAGUCCUGUGAUUAAAAGUCCGGCUGCCCUAAUUCACUUCGAUUAUACAUUAGGUUAAAGCCAUAUAAAAGAGGCACUACUUCUUCGGAGAGAUGAAUGGAUAUUACAAGCAGUAAUUUUGGCUUUGGAAUAUACACAUAAUGUCCACUUGACCUUAUCUAUUUGACACAAAAUGUAAACUAAAUUAUGAGCAUCAUUAGAUACCUUGGCCUUUUCAAAUCACACUUUUCAGGUUAAAUUCUAUCCAUAGUCAUCCCAAUAUACCUGCUUUAGAUGAUAGAAACUUCAAAAGAUCCGGCUCUCCCUCGUAAAACGUGGAGGACAGACAUCAAGGGGGUUUUGUGAGUAAAGAAAGGCAACCGCUCGGCAAAAACGCACCCUGGCACAACAGGAGCGAAUAAAUACAGACGCUGAUUGAGCGUUUGCUCCAUCUUCACUUCUGUUAAAUGAAGACAUUGAUAUCUAAAAUGCUAUGAGUCUAACUUUGUAAAAUUAAAAUAGAUUUGUAGUUAUUUUUCAAAAUGAAAUAGAAAAGAUACAAGUUUUGAAGGCAGUCUCUUUUUCCACCCUGCCCCUCUAGUGUGUUUUACACACUUCUCUGGCCACUCCAACAGGGAAGCUGGUCCAGGGCCAUUAUACAGGUACGUCCCCAACCAUCCAAGGAAACUUUGCAAAGAAGCUCAAGUAUUAGGUUUCGAACACCCCUCCUUCCCCCUGCCUCUGCCCGCGGGAAUCCAUCCAG
rnacentral:lncRNA from 1 species